rnacentral:rRNA from 1 species
ACACGAGCGGCGAACGGGUGAGUAACACGUGAGCAACCUGCCCCUGACUCUGGGAUAAGCGGUGGAAACGCCGUCUAAUACCGGAUACGACCCGCCACCUCAUGGUGGAGGGUGGAAAGUUUUUCGGUCAGGGAUGGGCUCGCGGCCUAUCAGCUUGUUGGUGGGGUAACGGCCUACCAAGGCGAUUACGGGUAGCCGGCCUGAGAGGGCGACCGGCCACACUGGGACUGAGACACGGCCCAGACUCCUGCGGGAGGCAGCAGUGGGGAAUAUUGCGCAAUGGGCGAAAGCCUGACGCAGCGACGCCGCGUGGGGGAUGACGGCCUUCGGGUUGUAAACCUCUUUUACCACCAACGCAGGCUUCCAGUUCUCUGGAGGUUGACGGUAGGUGGGGAAUAAGGACCGGCUAACUACGUGCCAGCAGCCGCGGUAAUACGUAGGGUCCGAGCGUUGUCCGGAAUUAUUGGGCGUAAAGAGCUCGUAGGCGGCGUGUCGCGUCUGCUGUGAAAGACCGGGGCUUAACUCCGGUUCUGCAGUGGAUACGGGCAUGCUAGAGGUAGGUAGGGGAGACUGGAAUUCCUGGUGUAGCGGUGAAAUGCGCAGAUAUCAGGAGGAACACCGGUGGCGAAGGCGGGUCUCUGGGCCUUACCUGACGCUGAGGAGCGAAAGCAUGGGGAGCGAACAGGAUUAGAUACCCUGGUAGUCCAUGCCGUAAACGUUGGGCGCUAGGUGUGGGGACUUUCCACGGUUUCCGCGCCGUAGCUAACGCAUUAAGCGCCCCGCCUGGGGAGUACGGCCGC